rnacentral:rRNA from 1 species
GACAGAGGCCUCAAGGGUUAGGCGGAAUCACUGGGCUUAAAGCGUGUGUAGGCGGACUUCUAAGUGCCUUGUGAAAUCCCACGGCUCAACCGUGGAACUGCUGGGCAUACUGGGAGUCUUGGGCCAUUCAGGGGCAACUGGAACAAGCGGUGGAGCGGUGAAAUGCGUAGAUAUCGCUUGGAACGCCGAAGGUGAAAACAGGUUGCUGGGGAUGUGCCGACGCUGAGACACGAAAGCCAGGGGAGCAAACGGG